rnacentral:sRNA from 1 species
GCACAUAGAACUUUCACGCAUUCAGUUGCAAGGGGGAAGGGAAUGGGUCCCUUCCGGUUGUAUGUGCGGAGGG